rnacentral:lncRNA from 10 species
UCAAGCACAAGCUGAGGAAAGGCCAUGUGGAGACACAGCGAGAAGGUGGCCACCUACAAGCCGUGAAGAGAUUCCUCCCCAGAAACUGCCAUGCUGGACUCUGAUCUAGAACUUCCAGCCUCCAGAACCAGGAACAAAUACGUUUUUGUUGUUUACGCCCACACACCUCUGGUAUUUAAGGAUGGCAGCUCGAGCUGACUAAGACAGGGUCCAAGCACUUGGUUUGGGUUGCUCAUGUCCCAGGGACUCACAUUUCCAAUCUGCCUUCUGGGGGUCAUAGCCACCUCUCAGGGCUUGCUGAUGGGAUCGGUGGUUGUGAAUGUUCCUUGUCAGUAUGGAGAGCCAUGAUCACGUAAAAGAAGCCGGCAACUCGUAAGGACCUCAGCUAUCUGAUAGCAUGCAGCAGGAGGCAAUAUUCAUAGUAGAAGCCACGGAGAGCUGUGGGAUUGGCCAGACCUGGAUUGGAAUCCUGGCUCUAACUUUGGAGCUGUGUACUUUGGACUUCACUAAUCCAAGCUUCAGUUUCUUCACCUAUACUCUGGGUGAAGAGUCAUAGGUGAAGCCUGAGCCACAAGAUCGGAGGGAGAAGAGCUCAUGGAUGAAAUGCCAUCACUUGCGCUGGUCUCUUCCUGGGGUUGGGUCCCCUAGGCCAGGUUCAGGACCCUGGAAAAUGUGGCAAAUGCAAAGACAACUCUGACAGCAGACCCUAACCUCUUUGGCACCAGGAAUGGGUUUCAUGGAAGACAGUUUUUCCAUGGGCCAGGAUGGAGGGAAAUGGCUUUGGGAUAAAUUAAGUGCAUUGCAUUUAUUGUGCACUUUAUUUCUGUUACUGUUACAUUGUAACAUAUAAUGAAAUAAUUAUACAACUCACCAUAACGUAGAACCAGUGGAAGCCCUGAGCUUGUUUUCCUGCAACUAGACGGUCCCAUCUGGGGGUGAUGGGAGACAGUGACAUUCAGCAUUAGAUUCUUACAGGGAGCAUGAGACCUAGGUCCCUCGCAUGCGCAGUUCACAAUAGGGCUCAUGCUCCUGUAAGACUCUAAUGCUGCCCUGAUCUG